rnacentral:rRNA from 1 species
GAUGAACGCUAGCGGCAGGCUUAAUACAUGCAAGUCGUGGGGCAGCAGGACUGUAGCAAUACAGUUGCUGGCGACCGGCAAACGGGUGCGGAACACGUACGCAAUCUACCCAGAACUGGUGAAUAGCCAUCCGAAAGGAGGAUUAAUACACCGUAAUAUUAUAAAGUGGCAUCCCUUAAUAAUUAAAGCUCCGGCGGUUUUGGAUGGGCGUGCGGCCCAUUAGGUAGUGGGUUGGGGUAAUGGCUCACCAAGCCGUCGAUGGGUAACUGGUGUGAGAGCACGACCAGUCACACGGGCACUGAGACACGGGCCCGACUCCUACGGGAGGCAGCAGUAAGGAAUAUUGGUCAAUGGACGCAAGUCUGAACCAGCCAUGCCGCGUGGAGGAUGAAGGCCCUCUGGGUUGUAAACUUCUUUUAUGGGGGACGAAAUCACUUAUUCUUAAGUGUCUGACGGUACCCCAGGAAUAAGCACCGGCUAACUCCGUGCCAGCCGCCGCAGUAA